rnacentral:rRNA from 1 species
AUUGAACGCUGGCGGCAGGCCUAACACAUGCAAGUCGAGCGGAUGAAGGGAGCUUGCUCCUGGAUUCAGCGGCGGACGGGUGAGUAAUGCCUAGGAAUCUGCCUGGUAGUGGGGGAUAACGUCCGGAAACGGGCGCUAAUACCGCAUACGUCCUGAGGGAGAAAGUGGGGGAUCUUCGGACCUCACGCUAUCAGAUGAGCCUAGGUCGGAUUAGCUAGUUGGUGGGGUAAAGGCCUACCAAGGCGACGAUCCGUAACUGGUCUGAGAGGAAGAUCAGUCACACUGGAACUGAGACACGGUCCAGACUCCUACGGGAGGCAGCAGUGGGGAAUAUUGGACAAUGGGCGAAAGCCUGAUCCAGCCAUGCCGCGUGUGUGAAGAAGGUCUUCGGAUUGUAAAGCACUUUAAGUUGGGAGGAAGGACAGUAAGUUAAUACCUUGCUGUUUUGACGUUACCAACAGAAUAAGCACCGGCUAACUUCGUG